GCGGGCCCCGGGGGGCCAAGGCGACGGUCUGACAGCUAAGAGGAAUUAUUAAUUAAUGACUAAUACUAGUCAGCAGGGAGGUGGCGGAAUUAAUAACUAGUACUAGUUAGCAGGCAGGCGGCUGCGAGUGGUGACUAAUGCGAAGCAGUGGAGCAGUGGAGGAGGACCUAAUUGAACGUCAACUCUGAAACUAAAACCAGAGAAAGAAGGAGAAAAACAAUGGCACAGCCAUGGAAGAAGAAAACAUGUUACUGGAUGAAGGCGAUGCUUCUUGCUUUGUGGUUUUCUGGGAUCCAUGUGUUGGCUGAUGCGGCUGCAGCUGUUUCCAAGGAACAAAAUCAAUUGCGGUUCAGCAAGGAGGGGCAGUUCAAGAUACUACAAGUUGCGGACAUGCACUUUGGUGAUGGCAAGUCCACCCCUUGCAAGAAUGUUCUCCCUAAUCAGAUGCGCGGUUGCUCCGACCUCAACACUUCCGCUUUCAUUCAUCGCAUGAUCCAAGCUGAGAAGCCUCAUCUCAUUGUUUUCACGGGCGAUAACAUAUACGGAAAAGACGCCAAAGAUGCAGUGGCGUCUUUGAAUGCUGCAUUCGCACCUGCGCUAUCAUCAAACAUACCCUGGGCUGCUGUUCUCGGCAACCACGACCAGCAAUCCACUCUCUCAAGGGAAGGGGUGAUGAAAUAUAUAGUCGGCAUGAAACACUCCCUGUCUCAGUUGAAUCCCCCCGGGGUUAACAUUAUUGAUGGUUUUGGGAACUAUAAUCUGGAGGUUAGCGGGGUUGAGGGUUCUAGUUUACAUAACAAAUCAGUUCUCAAUCUCUAUUUCCUGGAUAGCGGGGAUUACUCCACGGUUCCCUCUAUCUCUGGCUAUGGCUGGAUCAAACCCUCUCAGCAAUUUUGGUUUCAGCGCACUUCUAAGAAGCUUCGGAGAGCAUACAUGAGCAAUCCGGAGGGUCAGAAAUCAGCUGCACCAGGUCUAGCAUACUUUCAUAUCCCGUUGCCCGAAUGUGCGAGUUUUGACUCAUCAAACUUCACGGGUGUAAAACAAGAAGGCAUCAGCUCUGCUUCUGUGAAUUCAGGCUUCUUCACAACCAUGGUGGAAGCAGGGGAUGUGAAGGCUGCGUUCACUGGACAUGAUCAUCUCAAUGACUUCUGUGGAGAGCUACUUGGUAUACAUCUUUGCUAUGCUGGGGGGUUCGGAUACCAUGCCUAUGGGAAAGCUGGAUGGGCUCGGAGGGCUCGGGUUGUGUUGGCAACUUUGGAAGAAAGGGAGAAGGGAGGGUGGGGAGAAGUUAAGUCUAUCAAGACGUGGAAGCGGCUUGAUGAUAAACACCUUACUGUUAUCGAUGCUCAGGUCCUCUGGAGCAAGACCUCUGCUGGAAGCCGUAGAAAGAAAAAGAUUGGUGGCAUUUAAGUGAUUAACACGUAUUUGCAGCAAAGAUAAGCCAUCAACUUAGCUGUGAGAAAGAGUUUUGGUUCUGGAGCACUGAAAGAAACUUGAACCAUUGGAUGAAGUAUCAUAUUUCAUGUCUUUUAUGCAGAGUAUGUAGAUGAAGAAAGAUUUCAAGUUAUUGGAUCAUUCUUGUAAUCAGACACUUGUGGUGGUGAUCCAUUCCCAAAUUCUCUCUAUUAUGUCAUAACCUGAAACGUGGAAGAAAGAAAACCAAGUGAUCAUUCUUAUUCUUACAAGUUGGUUUUGGGGCUUAAUAUGCCAUCUACCAACUGGUUCAACAGAAGUCCAAACUUUCAAUUUGAUUGUGAUUGUCACUAUUGAGUUGUUGUUUGAUUGUUCAAAUGACAUACAUGAAAUGGCUCUUUGCCAUGAACAAUUGAUCGGGAAGUUUUCUGAACAAUGGUUCAAAACUGUAAUUAUGGUCAGGUUAUUUUGUUAUUAUUGGAAUUUUCACAUAUAUGGUUAAUUUUGAUACAGCA